rnacentral:rRNA from 1 species
CGUCCAUAGCGGCGGGGAGGUUUGGCACCUCGAUGUCGGCUCAUCGCAUCCUGGGGCUGGAGAAGGUCCCAAGGGUUCGGCUGUUCGCCGAUGAAAGCGUUACGUGAGCUGGGUUCAGACCGUCGUGAGACAGGUCGGUCCCUAUCUGUCGUGGGCGUUGGAAAACUGAAGGGGUUUCUUCUUUAGUACGAGAGGAUUUGGAAGGACGGACCUCUUGUGUCCCUGUUGUCUCGCUAGAGGCAGCGCAGGGUAGCGAAGUCCGGGCCGGAUAAGCGCUGAAGGCAUAUAAGCGCGAAACCAUCCCUGAGAAAAGUUUUCCUUGAGACCCCUCGUAGACUACGAGGUUGAUAGGCUGGGUGUGUAAGGCGUGUAAGCGUCUCAGCUAACCAGUACUAACGGUCGAAAGCUUGACCAC